rnacentral:rRNA from 1 species
UAACAACCUGGAAACAGAUGCUAAUACCGGAUAAUAACAGAUGAUGCCUAUCAACUGUUUAAAAGAUGGUUCUGCUAUCACUCUUGGAUGGACCUGCGGUGCAUUAGCUAGUUGGUAGGGUAACGGCCUACCAAGGCGAUGAUGCAUAGCCGAGUUGAGAGACUGAUCGGCCACAUUGGGACUGAGACACGGCCCAAACUCCUACGGGAGGCAGCAGGG